rnacentral:rRNA from 1 species
CCUACGGGGGGCAGCAGUGGGGAAUAUUGCGCAAUGGGCGAAAGCCUGACGCAGCGACGCCGCGUGAGGGAUGAAGGUCUUCGGAUCGUAAACCUCUGUUAGCAGGGAAGAACGGUCACUGUGCUAAUCAGCAGUGAAUUGACGGUACCUGCAAAGGAAGCACCGGCUAACUCCGUGCCAGCAGCCGCGGUAAUACGGAGGGUGCGAGCGUUAAUCGGAAUUACUGGGCGUAAAGCGCUCGUAGGCGGUAUGUCAAGUCAAGGGUGAAAGCCCGGCGCUCAACGUGGGAAGUGCAUUUGAAACUGGCAAACUGGAGUGUGUGAGAGGAUAGUGGAAUUCCUGGUGUAGCGGUGAAAUGCGUAGAUAUUAGGAGGAACACCAGUGGCGAAGGCGGUCUGCUGGACAGCAACUGACGCUGAGGCACGAAGGCCAGGGGAGCGAAAGGGAUUAGAUACCCUAGUAGUC